rnacentral:misc_RNA from 1 species
GAUGAAGAACGCAGCGAAAUGCGAUAAGUAAUGUGAAUUGCAGAAUUCAGUGAAUCAUCGAAUCUUUGAACGCACAUUGCGCCCGCCAGUAUUCUGGCGGGCAUGCCUGUCCGAGCGUCAUUUCAACCCUCAAGCCCCCGGGCUUGGUGUUGGAGAUCGGCGAGCCCCCCGGGGCGCGCCCUCUCCCAAAUAUAGUGGCGGUCCCGCUGUAGCUUCCUCUGCGUAGUAGCACACCUCGCACUGGGAAACAGCGUGGCCACGCCGUAAAACCCCCCACUUCUGAAAGGUUGACCUCGGAUCAGGUAGGAAUACCCGCUGAACUUAAGCAUAUCAAUAAGCGGAGGA